GUGCACGCUGGCGGUAGGCCUAACACAUGCAAGUCGAACGGCAGCACAGUAAGAGCUUGCUCUUACGGGUGGCGAGUGGCGGACGGGUGAGGAAUACAUCGGAAUCUACUUUUUCGUGGGGGAUAACGUAGGGAAACUUACGCUAAUACCGCAUACGACCUACGGGUGAAAGCAGGGGAUCUUCGGACCUUGCGCGAUUGAAUGAGCCGAUGUCGGAUUAGCUAGUUGGCGGGGUAAAGGCCCACCAAGGCGACGAUCCGUAGCUGGUCUGAGAGGAUGAUCAGCCACACUGGAACUGAGACACGGUCCAGACUCCUACGGGAGGCAGCAGUGGGGAAUAUUGGACAAUGGGCGCAAGCCUGAUCCAGCCAUACCGCGUGGGUGAAGAAGGCCUUCGGGUUGUAAAGCCCUUUUGUUGGGAAAGAAAAGCAGCAGGUUAAUACCCCGCUGUUCUGACGGUACCCAAAGAAUAAACACCGGCUAACUUCGU
rnacentral:rRNA from 1 species